AGAGAGAGAGAGAGAGAGAGAGAGAGAGAGAGAGAGAGAGAGAGAGAGAGAGAGAGAGAGAGAGAGAGAGGGGCUUUUGUCUCGUUUCGCAGGCGGACGUAACAUCAACUUCCGCGACGAUUGCCCUUUGGUUCCUCCGGAGCAAAGGUAGCUUCUUUCAAUUUUCGGAUGUACGUGUUUAAGAUACGCGUGAGGUAAGCGUCUCCGAUUAAACGAGAGAGAGAGAGAGAGAGAGAGAGAGAGAGAGAGAGAGAAAGAGAGGAGCUUACGAUGUAUCGCCCUCCUUCCGCGAUUGUUCCUCGGUCUUGGCGGUAACCCAAAAUAAAUCGACGGCUCAUUCUUGCUCGUUUUAAACGUGGCCAUUUUCCAUCGUUUUUCAUCUAUAUAUUCGAUAUAACGAUCUUAAACAUGUGCCCCGAUUUCUGAAUACCUUUUUCUACCUUGUAUCGAGUCCUUUGUAUUAUAUAUUUGAAUAAAACUUGUGUCUACGGUAGCAUUUAGCCAAACAUUCCUCCCGAGACAUUCUUCUCUCAACGCGAGAGAAAAAAACGCUUCUUUUUCUGUUAGUAGACUCUCCCGUAAACGUCGUACGCGUAAACCUCGAUUGCCGUUUUUCUUCGAGAAUUCGAGCAAGAAACGUUCACGCGGAUAACUCUACAGUUUCUGUCGCGGGAAGGACCGUUUAUUACUCUUUUCGUCGAUAGAGACGGCAGAGUUCGGAUAUUACGUAUGGCAAUCAACGUCGAUCAAUGCAUUCCGAUCAAUGUAUGCGGUAUUUUUAAGAGAUGCUUGCGUCAAAACUCAACAUACGUUGUACGCUCAUUCCGCGCAGAGAACCUCUGACUUCUUACCUGUUUAUUCCGUUUUCCAUUACAAUUUGCCUAUCGUUGAGGGAAAAUAUGGCCUUCCCCCUCUUUUCUUUCUUUUUUCUUUUUUUUUUACACGAUGGGGUAAACCGCUGAUCCGGAAAGGUUCUACCACUAUUCUACCGUUCACUAAAAUAAACGGAAAAAUGAUAG